AACAGAGGAAAGAUGGCCACUUAGCCUGUCAACAGACUGAAGUGGCAGUGAUAAAGGAGGGUGCUGGAAGCCUGACCCAGGUGAGGAUGCUCGCUAGGGGAGAUGUAGCAGCCCUCGGGAGGUCUGGCCACUCUUGGAGUCCUUAACCUGAAGCCUGGAAUCAGCAGAGAGAGUUGGGCAGGCUGCCCUCCCCUAAAGCUGCCUUUUUAGAAAGCAGUGAUGCAGUGGUGUGGGCACACUCUGAGGGCUACACAGGAGCUAGCUGGUUAAUGGCCAAGUGGCCAGCUCACGGGAAGCCUUCUUUUCCUGCCUGUGGCUACAAGAUUAGGGCUUAGAAGACGCAGAGGAAGGUCUAAUGAGG